rnacentral:rRNA from 1 species
UACAGGGGGUGCAAACGUUGCUCGGAAUCAUUGGGCGUAAAGCGCACGUAGGCGGUUCGUUAUGUCUGAUGUGAAAGCCCUUGGCUUAACCGAGGAAGUGCAUCCGAAACUGGCGAGCUAGAGUACUAAAGAGGAUCGCGGAAUUCCCGGUGUAGAGGGGAAAUUCGUAGAUAUCGGGAGGAACACCGGUGGCGAAGGCGGCGAUCUGGGUAGAUACUGACGCUGAGACGCGAAAGCGUGGGUAGCAAACAGG